GGAUAAAACAUGGACGGUAGUUAAAUUCUUAGAAGAGAAUUCUGUGGAAGCAGUUCCCACACAUUGGUUAAUUGGAAACACUCAUUGUGUCUGGCCACCCUACCCUAGAGAAAAAGUAAUAAAUUCCAUCCGAACUUAUGAGAACAUGAAUACAUGUUGGCCUAGCCACAAAGUAUCCAUUUUCCGUAAUGGAACAUACAGUUAGUAGAUUAUUCUGUCAGGGAUUCUAUAAUUCCAGGAAAAGUUUUAUACAUUGUAUAAUUACCUGGAAGCUCGAAACAAAACAAAGGUUGCGGAAUACAGUAGCGACUUGAAUGAGGAAGAUUCAAAGUCCAGAAAAUACAGAAAAAAAAAGAAUAAAAUUUCGUCCUCUGACGAAAGUGAAGAAGAUGAAACGUACAGUAAAUUACCUCCUCCUCCAUCUAAAACAAGGGAUAAAGAUACUCCACCCAACACUGAUGAGUUUGAAUCCAAUGCUCUAUCAUCUCCAAUGAAUGAAGCACCACCGAAAUCACCUGGUGAUUUGGCCAAUGAAAAAGAACUGUUGCCAUUGCUGUCCAAUUCAUGGGAAUCAAAAUAUUGAUGAAACUAUGAAAAAAAUCAGCAAACAAUACUAUUUCAUCAGUAGCAUUUUGACUGAUAUCAGUUCAAAACUGGAGAACCUCAGAACCAAUGAUGAGCAUGGUCGUAAUUCCUAAGAAGAGAUUGAUUCCCUUUUCACUAAAUUUCAAUUUUUUCCUCUGAACAAUGCUGAAGAUCUGAAUACCAUUGAGGAAUAUUUGAAAGAAAACAAUAAUUUCAGAGCAGCUUGUAAUGAGAUGUCUAAAAUAGGAGGCUGCAAUUUGUAUGAAUUUAU